CGCGUCGCAGGACCGCCGCAGCAAGACGCUCUGGAGGGACGCCGCGGGCCGGGCUCCUUUCCCGGAGCCGGGCAGCUCCCCCUUGUGCAGCAGCACGAGCGCCACGGCGCUCAGGAGCGGGACGGCCAGGAGAAAGCUCAAAUACUGGACUGUCCGGUUCAAAACCAGACUCCUGGCAACCCAACAUACUAUGAUUCAAGUCAGUGCCCCGAAGAUUUUGGACUUGUUUACAACUUCGAGAGAAAGAACUGUGUGAAAGAAAGACUGUGUUUUGAGGAGAUUAAAAACUAAGGAAGAAGCAGGGUUUCCAGAUAAGAAGUAACAAGGGAGAAAUUCAGUCAAGGACAGACCGUUGUUUAUCUCUCAUGGUAAGGCAAGCAGAAUUGGGUGGUGCAAAAACCCAGUGCUUUUGGAUCGGCCGUAAACACACUAGUAAGAGGGACAUCACCCCACUUGGACUGUGUGCAACCAGUGGAUGGCAUUCCACUCGACUGGCCCCCACCGAAGGGAUAUAUACCACACCAUUUUGACACACGAGUUGGAAUCCAUCGAUUUGGCAUAUUGGGGUAACGUGCAUGUCGGACUUCCACCUCAACCAAAUUUAUCAACAUUACCUGGGGCUUGGCCAGCCCCGGAGGAGGAGUGAUAAUUACUAACUCGGCUACCCCCUGAAUCUUCUGUUUUCAAAGGCAUUGAUGAUUCCAGCAGAGGUGAGGCUGAUGAGAUCUGGACCAGUGCCUGAGAGCACAGUCACUGUGCAACCCUCUGAAAGAAUACAGCCUACUCUCCUCUGUGCCAAGUUGGAGUGUAUGAAGGAGGUGGAGAAACAAGAUCAUACUCUGCUGAGUAGGAGAACAAAUUUCUUCAUCAAGAAAAAAACCGUGAAAGGAAGGCAACAAAAUAAAGGUGGUUGUCUUUAUUUCAAUUCCUUGGAAAUUCUUGCCCUGUGUUUUGCAAAGGUGGUGAAUGACUGUCACUCCCUGAAUGUCCGCUAUGCAGACCACAGUCCAUCAGUGUGUGAUCUAUGAAGAAUAGUCGGGGACAGAUCUAGUUUAUGGUUAAUAACACAAGAACCUGGAAGUACCCAGGAUCAGAGAAAAGAAAGCUCAUGCCCAUCAUGAUGACCCCUGUCUUCCAACCAAACCCCACCAGGAAAAAAACUGACAAAAAAACAACUACAUCAUCUUCUCAGUCCUUGCAGGUUACUGACUCUCCUGGGCUGAUCAAAGUGGAGUUAGAGAUGGAUUAUGCUCCAGAAAGGGACCACCCUGUCUCAAAGGAUCUAGUCCAAUGCAGAGUCUGUUCUUGACUCACAGAGAUUUCACACUGCAAUAGUUCAGUGAAUCAGGCCCUGGUUGACUUUGACAUGUUAGUGUAAAAUGGCAUGUAAAUAAAGUCAAACAAAUGAGCCUCACAAGAUAGACCACCAACCGGAAAAGCAUCCUGUUCCAUGUUGCAUCCUGUACCAUGUUUUUAUUUUUCUCAAAGCAAAUGCAGCUUUCCCACCCCUCACCCUGUGUGUUGUGUAUCUAAACACAUACCAGUGACACAUCAAUUGGGUGUAUAGGAUUACUUUUCCUUCCAUUAAAUGUCAUGGGGUGCAUGUGUGUAUUAGGACAAUGGUUCAACCUAAUGUUAAAGGCUAAAUGAAUUGCAGCUGCCUGCUCUAUUUCUUGUUAAAAACAUCAUUUAGAUUUUUGUGUGGAUUAAUAUUGUCCUGGAUAUCAGAGCCUCCAACAGUCAUUCUCCAGUAAUAAGUAUUUUUGUAAUUAUUUUACACUUAUAAAUAUAUGUACCUUGCAGACAACAUUUCUAACAUUAGUAUUGAUAUAUAAAAGUAUAUUCCUCUUAAGCUUUACUCUGGGAAAUAUGAGUUGAUGUUUUAAAAGAUGUAUCUGAAUCAUGCAGUGUUUUAUUAAAUGUAAUAAAGAAUUAAAC